rnacentral:rRNA from 1 species
UUCCCGGCGUUAUUACCCCCUACCCACCGCGCCCUGUCCAUCAUCCCCAUCCUCAUCUAUCUUCAGCGGCAGGGCGCGGCCCGCGGCACGGACGUCGUCCGCGAACGACUGGAGUGGGUGGGAGUGUGCGGAGCGCGGGGGCGUGACGGCGCUGUUUUAGCGGGCCGGGGGGUGGGGUGGGGUGGGGCCGGCAGGCGGGGGCGGAAGGGGGCGCGAAAUGGGGAGGGGGCAAGGAUGGUGGAGUUCUAGGCUAGGUAGAGGUCACACUAGGGGGCCGAGGAGGAGCACUAGGGGCUGCUGCUGCUGUUGCCUCCGGUCGAGUCACCGAGCGAGCGAGCGAGCGAAAGAGAGGGGGUUUAGUGUCGAAAGAUGGUAAUGGCCGGUCUGGCUCGGCGUCCCGUGACGAUGCUCAUCUUGGCAUCUUCAUCUUUGAGUGGUGGCCGGUGGGUGGAUGAUGAUUGGCUAUCUAUAUCUAUCCGUCUCCGCCCCAUAUCCUUUGCCCUCUCUCGUCGUCGUCGCAUCAUCAUCAUGAUGACGCUGGUGGUGGUGGUGAUGGCGGCACGACGUCCAGAGAUAGAUGGGUCACAGGUGGACGCCGAGAGGAAGCGGGGCGAGGGAGGGAGGGGCGCGAGGUGAGAGAGAGCUGAGCAGCAGCGAGGGAAAGAGCGGUCCACUCCGUCGGCGUCUAGACGACGACAACUAGGGGCCGAGCCUAGAACUACUAAACCCCCGAGAAGAAGUUCACUAACGACAGUGAAGAGACCGGAUGGAGAUGGACCUAUAACCUAAGUUAGUCCACCAUUAAAGAGGACAACGAGUAUGUGCUCUGACUUUUCCGCACGUACAAUACAAUUUGGCAGUGUUUCUACCGCUGUUUUCCUGUCGAACAAUCUCUUUCCUUACACUUCUAGUGUAGUUCGGCACUUCCAGCAGUCUCCCCAUUAAGUGUCAGUCUUGUUAAUCACGUUCAAGGUUUCGUUUUCCUGAGCCGUCGGUCACCUUUGUAACUACCUUUUAAACUUCUAUCUUAGUCUCAACACUUCUUACUGUUCUAAGCAUCCGUCGCUCUUGGAGCUUUACGUCUUCCCCUACAUCCGAACUUCUCGAGUUUUGGUACCGGACGUGCUUUUCGUUGAUGACAACUACUUGAACAGUUCGUAUACAGGUUUCAAGGAAGCAUAAAUGUCGCGUUUCUCUACCGACUGGUAGAAGUCCUGUUCCGCGACUUACAACCCCAAGAACUCACCCCGGAAGAGCGUUCCACCAGAGUGCUUGUUUUUGUACUCGGGAUAUCGUCGGUACCUCGGAGAAGUAGACUAUGGUCGUCUAGACAAGAUAAGAGAAGAGGUAGAGUAAGAAGACGUUCGGGGUCGUCGUUCAGAGAACUAUCGUUAGUUAGAGGUGACUUACUGGUCGUCGUGACAAAAUACUUCAGAGUCGUUUCGUCAGGACACCUGUUUGUGGUACUCUUCCGGUUAGGUGGAUCGGGUUUAAGACGUCACAACUCGAACAACGGUCCCGUACCGUUCACAUAAGCACGUCUCUUGUUACCACCGAAUUUAGAGUCGCUCAAAAGAGGGGGUCGUCUGAGAGACUAACGACGGAGACCCUCAACGUGCGGCGUACUAUACCAACUACUACUUCUACGAUGUUCCUUCGAUCUCCUCCGACAAGUAGUGACAAGCGCGUCCGAAAAAUGUCUACUACUAUUGUGGUCCUCUUCAAAGAAGUGUGGGUUACUGCUACUAAGGUACACACAGUUGGGAGACGUCUCGUUACCGUAGUCACCAGAUCAUGGAUCACGACACUACCUUCGUCUUUCUUUACCGUCAUCCAGUGGACAGCCAAAGAACCUCCUAUAACCGGUUAGGGGACUUGAAUGAGCAUAAGGUAUGAGUACAGGUGAGGGGGAGUACCUAAGGUGACUUCUCGAACCGCGGUCAUCGAGACGUUGAUCUCUACGAAAAAAAUCACGUCGACAUUGUUCUCCACUUGUGCCAUUGUCUGUGUUUAGAGGACAAUCACAGACGUUCUUUGGAGAGGACUAAUCGAGUUUCAAGUGACUAUACCUACACGACGGACUAGCAGUAGAACAAAGACCCGACUUACCUUACCCGUCUACGAGAUCGGACUUCCUUCGUGGUAGAGGGGCUGUUGGACUGUGGAGACACCUAUUCUAAUUACUCCUGUUCGCUAGUUUGUCGUCUCCAUCUGCGUCGGGUAACUCCUCCUACAAUCUAGGUGAUAAUUUCGGAUCCGUUGGUAGGUGAAGACAACGUGGUUAAGUUCGAAGUAAACAAGGUUUCACAGUAGACAGUUCGUCAUAAUUAUUCGUUAGCUAAUUGAACCUUCCGAGACCUAGUGUUUUACACGUCGCAUCCAGUCAACUACGUCAUCAGUUAAGUUUAUUGGUACGACUUCGUUUGUAUUUAGUCGGAGGAGCACACGACAACUUGUCACUCUCCAUGGAGUUGGUUCUUUCCCUAAGUUGUUCUUGUUCCGUUCGCGAAGACGUCGAUCGUACCUUUUUGCCGGAUGGAAAUAAGUACGAAAGAAUGCCACUAAGACUAUAGGACCGCCGGUGACACUCUUCCUUUCCUUGGAGACUAUUCCUACUAGACCUUUCACGUAUAUGAAAUAAGUGACAACUUCUCGGGUUCUUUUUUUCACCUCGAACCUAGUGUCGUCCAUUAUUCUUGUUCUUUGUAGUUGACCAUAGGUCAUAACAACCCCUUUACUCCUAGAGUGCUGCUUUUAGUUCUACGACGGUGUGUUUGCUAAAAGCACACGUGUCCCUUAAACACGACCAACCAAGACUUGACGAUGGUUGUGGACUCCUUGGACCGCUAAGUGUGUAAUCGUCUCUUUAACCCCGAAAAUAGUCGCGUCAAGGAGUUUGUCGUCUUUGAGGAGUAGUUAGUAGAAGUGUCUUAAGACCGGCUCCAUCAAGUCGUGGUUAACCGACGAGAACGGGAGGAGACCCUUUGUAGAUGCUAUUGUACUGUUUACGAUCAAGUCGAGGUCGGUCACAAUAACGGUAUGAUGGCUUGCCGAAGGUGUCGCGUAGUUGAAGACCUGUCGGAAAUGGAGACUACCUCUCCACCUCUCGGUCUCCUAGUACACUGACACCACCCACCCUACUUCCAACGCGCGACUCACAGGAGUGGCUGUUGUGGGUUCCUUUGGUUCCUACGUUCAGAUUAGUCCACUUGGUUUGCGUCCUACCGUCAGUAGCUAAGCUGAACGAGAGAGUCCCAGCUAGUGCCCUCCUAGCCGUACGGAAGUCGUACCAAAGCAAAUUUCUUCCCAAUAUGCGUCAGCUUAAGUCUAGUAGGUAACGAGAUGAAGUCCGGAAGCGCUACACAUAUCACUACGAAGUGCCCUCCUCGGGACACUCCUGCGUCCGGCUAAACGGUCGGAGCGUUCUGCUACGUCAGAAACGGCUAGUAUUCGACUUCCGAUACCGUUGUCGGCCGGUUCCAUCUCGAGGCCGGUCGAUACACGGCGCAGUCGGUGGAGAUAGAGGGCAUCCCGCUCGGAUCGGUUGUUCGAACGGCGGUAUUUUUACUACACAAGGAAAAGUAAAAAGAGAACAUUAAACUCGUCACGACGACCUGGUUAUAUACUACCAGGAACACGCUAAGAGUGUGUACCGUUCACUACUUAGAAUACCUUGACCGAAAUCCGUAUUCGAUAUCGAUCGACAUGUACAUUUACACUGAUACACUACGACGACGUUCCGAGUAGAGUCACGAAUAAAUGGGGAAAGUACACGAGAGAAGACUCACUGACUGUCAGUUAGGGUA